AUAUUUUGCUUCGUGAGAAGGAUGAGAAGCUUCGACUGAAGGUUCGAGUCGAACAACGUGAGACAACGCGCUUCAGCGCGGCCCGAAGGGUAAGACGCAUCGCGUCGAAUAAUCCUUCUCCCACCACCA
rnacentral:sRNA from 1 species